UACGGAGGGGGCUAGCGUUGUUCGGAAUUACUGGGCGUAAAGCGCACGUAGGCGGCUUUGUAAGUUAGAGGUGAAAGCCCGGGGCUCAACCCCGGAAUUGCCUUUAAGACUGCAUCGCUAGAAUUGUGGAGAGGUAAGUGGAAUUCCGAGUGUAGAGGUGAAAUUCGUAGAUAUUCGGAAGAACACCAGUGGCGAAGGCGGACUUACUGGACACAUAUUGACGCUGAGGUGCGAAAGCGUGGGGAGCAAACAGGG
rnacentral:rRNA from 1 species